GCCUGGGGUGCCCCGCAGGGGAGCCCUAGCACAGGUGCUGCAUGGCCGUCGUCAGCUCGUGCCGUGAGGUGUUGGGUUAAGUCCCGCAACGAGCGCAACCCCCGCCGUUAGUUGCCAGCGGUUCGGCCGGGCACUCUAACGGGACUGCCCGCGAAAGCGGGAGGAAGGAGGGGACGACGUCUGGUCAGCAUGGCCCUUACGGCCUGGGCGACACACGUGCUACAAUGCCCACUACAAAGCGAUGCCACCCGGCAACGGGGAGCUAAUCGCAAAAAGGUGGGCCCAGUUCGGAUUGGGGUCUGCAACCCGACCCCAUGAAGCCGGAAUCGCUAGUAAUCGCGCAUCAGCAUGGCGCGGUGAAUACGUUCCCGGGCCUU
rnacentral:rRNA from 1 species